UACAGAGGGUGCAAGCGUUGUUCGGAAUUAUUGGGCGUAAAGCGCGUGUAGGCGGCGUGACAAGUCGGGUGUGAAAGCCCUCAGCUCAACUGAGGAAGUGCGCCCGAAACUGUCGUGCUUGAGUGUCGGAGAGGGUAGCGGAAUUCCCCAAGUAGCGGUGAAAUGCGUAGAGAUCGGGAGGAACACCAGAGGCGAAGGCGGCGACCUGGACAGGUACUGACACUCAACUACGAAAGCGUGGGGAGCAAACAGG
rnacentral:rRNA from 1 species